rnacentral:rRNA from 1 species
UACGUAGGGUCCGAGCGUUGUCCGGAAUUAUUGGGCGUAAAGGGCUCGUAGGCGGUUCGUCACGUCGGGAGUGAAAACUCGGGGCUUAACCCCGAGCCUGCUUCCGAUACGGGCAGACUAGAGGUAGGCAGGGGAGAGCGGAACUCCUGGUGUAGCGGUGGAAUGCGCAGAUAUCAGGAAGAACACCGGUGGCGAAGGCGGUUCUCUGGGCCUUACCUGACGCUGAGGAGCGAAAGCGUGGGGAGCGAACAGG